CCCCUGGAUUCCAGGAUUCCCGUCUCCCCGAAUCCCAGGAUUCCCAUCUCCCCGAAUCCCAGGAUUCCCAGAUCCCCGAAUCCCAGGAUUCCCGGAUCCCCGAAUCCCGGAAUUCCCAUCUCCCCAAAUCCCAGGAUUCCCAGAUCCCCAAAUCCCAGGAUUCCCAGAUCCCCAAAUCCCAGGAUUCCCGACCCCCCGAAUCCCAGGAUUCCCGACCCCCCGAAUCCCGGAAUUCCCGUCUCCCCGAGCCCCCCGAAUCCCGGGAUAUUUUGGGAAUCCCUGCGGACCCAGCAGGCGGAAGAUGAAGUGCAGCUGCUCCUCCACGGUGGCCCCGGGGAACAGCGGCCGCCCCGUCACCAUCUCCGAGAAGAUGCAGCCGACGCCCCUGGGCGGCCGAAACGUUGGGAUCCCCCCGGAAAAUCCCCAAACGAUUCCCAAAUCCCCCAAAUUCCCCCAAUUCCUCCUCCCAAAACCCCGGGAAUCGUCCCCGGCCCCCUCCCAGUGCUCCCAGUCCCUCUCCAAUCCCCUCCCAGUUCCCAGUCCCUGUUCCCAGUUUUUCCCAGUUGUUCCCAGUUCCCAUUCCCAUUAUUCCCAUUAUUCCCAUUAUUCCCAUCAUUCCCAUUAUUCCCAUUAAUCCCAUUAUUCCCAUUAAUCCCAUUAUUCCCAUUCCCAUCAUUCCCAUUAUUCCCAUUCCCAUCAUUCCCAUUAUUCCCAUUCCUGUUAUUCCUGUUUUUCCCAUUCCCAUUCCCAUUAUUCCCAUCAUUCCCAUUAUUCCCAUUAUUCCCAUCAUUCCCAUUAUUCCCAUUAUUUCCAUUCCCAUUAUUCCCAUUAUUCCCAUCAUUCCCAUUAUUCCCAUUCUCCCAUUCCUGUUAUUCCUGUUUUUCCCGUUCCCAUUCCCAGUUAUCCCGUUAUCCCCAUUCCCGUUAUCCCGUUCUCCCAUUCCAAUUCCCGUUAUCCCACCAUUCCCACCAUUCCCACCAUUCCCAUCAUUCCCACCAUUCCCAUUAUUCCCGUCAUUCCCACCAUUCCUGUCAUCCUGUUAUCCCGUCAUUCCCGUUAUUCCCAUUGUCCCAUCGUUCCCAUUAUCCCACCCUUCCCACCAUUCCCGUCAUUCCCGUUAUCCCAUCGUUCUUUUCAUUCCCACCAUUCCCAUUAUGCCGUUAUCCCAUUCCCACCAUUCCCAUCAUUCCCAUUAUUCUGUUUUCUCGUUAUCCCGUUAUCCCGCCAUUCCCGUUAUCCCAUCAUUCCCGUUAUCCCGUCGUUCCCGUCAUUCCCGUUAUCCCAUUCCCACAUUCCCGUUAUCCCAUCAUUCCCGUUAUCCCGUUUUCCUGCCAUUCCCGUUAUCCCAUUCCCACAUUCCCGUUAUCCCAUCAUUCUUUUCAUUCCCGUCAUUCCCGUUAUCCCAUGCCCACAUUCCCACCAUUCCCAUCAUUCCCGUUAUCCCGUCAGUCAUUCCCGUUAUCCCGUUAUCCCGUUAU
rnacentral:lncRNA from 1 species